UGAAGACGUGAUUAAAUUCAACCUGCCAUUGCAACUUAAGAAGAUCCUUUAGUUUUCUAGAGAUCAGCUCUCCAAGGUUGGUUAAAGGCGUCAUCAUGUGCUUUGCAGUUCCUCCAAUACCAUAUGAACCAGCAACAGGUAGC